rnacentral:lncRNA from 1 species
CGAGCCUAUCAUCCAUCCUUUUUUUGUUAGUUGAUCGAAAAAUUGGACUUUAACCAUAUAUUAAUCAAUUAUAAAGACAACAUAGUAAUUUUAUAUUUUUCACAUUAAAAAACUUAGAUGAAAAAGAAAACAAAAUAAAGAGGAAAAAAAAUGUUCUUCUCCCUCACCCCCAACCCAACCCCAAUCCCUAACCUAAAACCUGAAAUCCACCAUCACCGCCACCUCCUCCAAAAUCGACUACCACCCCCUGACACAACUGCAUGGCCAUCUUCCAUUAGCACUCAAAAUGGCCAUCUUCACGGGCCUAAUCUCUACUCUACUGUUGAUAGCCAUUUCCUCAACCUUUAUCUCUGCUCAAUCAUUACGGUGCACCUCCCCAAGCGGCAAAUGCUACGGUUUAGUAGACUAUGUCUCUCCCAACCACACCAGUCUCUUCGUCAUCAAGACCCUUCUCUAAGUCAAGAACCUUCACUCAAUUCUUUGCGCCAACAACAUCCUCCUCUACACCUAGGCAAAUACCAUCGUUGUGGCCAAGCAAACGAUCAAGAUUUCUUUCCCUUGCAUAUGCAGAAACCACACAAGAAUAUCCAACAGGUGCCCAAAUUACACGAUGGUUCUCGACGACGGCCUCUAAAACAUCGCCGCUGAAGUGUUUGCCAGUCUCGUUACCUUCCAACAAAUUCAGGAAGUAAAUAAUAUAGGCAAUGCCAACUUGAUUUUAGUGGGCCAAAAGCUGUAGAUUCCGUUGCCAUGCCAGUGGUUGUUGAGGGAUGGUGGUCGAUUUUGGGCGAGGUGGUGGUGAUGGUGGAUUUCCGAUUUUGGAUUAGGGGUUGGGGUGAGGGUGAGGGAGAAGGAGAUUUUUUUUCCCUUUUUAUUUUGUUUUCGUCUUUUUUUGUUGUUUUUUUAUUUAAGUUUUUUAAUGUGAAAAAUAUAAAAUUACAGUUUUGUCCUUUUAUUAUUGAUUAAUAUGUGGCCAGAGUCCAUUUUUUGGUCAACUAACAAAAAUAUGGCUGGAAUCCAUUCAUUGGGGUUUCAUCCGCAACAUUUUGAAAAGUUUGGAGUGAUGGCUGCAACAAAUGAAAGGUCAGGAAAAAGUCUACAAUUUUUGGAAAGCUUGGGGUCUCAACUAUAAUUAUCCCAUUAUUUUAUUACUUGCCUG